GAGAGGAACUUGUUCCUCGAGUCGUUGAUUUCACACUGCCGAGAAAAGCCUCUAGCUAGAAUAACGGUGCCCGUACCGCAAACCGACACAGGUAGUCAAGAUGAGAAUUCUAAGGUGAGCGAGCGAACUCUCGUUAAGGAACUCGGCAAAAUGACCCCGUAACUUCGGGAGAAGGGGUGCUCUUUGAGGUUCACGCUUCGAAGAGCCGCAGUGAAUAGGCCCAAGCGACUGUUUAUCAAAAACACAGGUCUCUGCUAAACCGUAAGGUGACGUAUAGGGGCUGACGCCUGCCCGGUGCUGGAAGGUUAAGAGGAGUGGUUAGCGCAAGCGAAGCUACGAAUCGAAGCCCCAGUAAACGGCGGCCGUAACUAUAACGGUCCUAAGGUAGCGAAAUUCCUUGUCGGGUAAGUUCCGACCCGCACGAAAGGCGUAACGAUUUGGGCACUGUCUCAACGAGAGACUCGGUGAAAUCAUAGUACCGGUGAAGAUGCCGGUUACCCGCGACAGGACGGAAAGACCCCGUGGAGCUUUACUGUAGCCUGAUAUUGAAAUUCGGUACAGUUUGUACAGGAUAGGUAGGAGCCUUAGAAGCGUGAGCGCUAGCUUACGUGGAGGCAUUGGUGGGAUACUACCCUAAUUGUAUUGGAUUUCUAACCCGCAGCACUUAUCGUGCUGGGAGACAGUGUCAGGCGGGCAGUUUGACUGGGGCGGUCGCCUCCUAAAGAGUAACGGAGGCGCUCAAAGGUUCCCUCAGAAUGGUUGGAAAUCAUUCAUAGAGUGUAAAGGCAUAAGGGAGCUUGACUGCGAGACCUACAAGUCGAGCAGGGUCGAAAGACGGACUUAGUGAUCCGGUGGUUCCGCAUGGAAGGGCCAUCGCUCAACGGAUAAAAGCUACCCCGGGGAUAACAGGCUUAUCUCCCCCAAGAGUUCACAUCGACGGGGAGGUUUGGCACCUCGAUGUCGGCUCAUCGCAUCCUGGGGCUGUAGUCGGUCCCAAGGGUUGGGCUGUUCGCCCAUUAAAGCGGUACGCGAGCUGGGUUCAGAACGUCGUGAGACAGUUCGGUCCCUAUCCGUCGUGGGCGUAGGAAAUUUGAGAGGAGCUGUCCUUAGUACGAGAGGACCGGGAUGGACAUACCUCUGGUGUACCAGUUGUCGUGCCAACGGCAUAGCUGGGUAGCUAUGUAUGGACG
rnacentral:rRNA from 1 species